rnacentral:rRNA from 1 species
AUGGAGUUGGUGGUAGGUGCCUCGAAUGCUACCAUGAGGUCCCUCCUGGGCAAGCUGGGGGGCCUUCUAGCCCAGGAGUAUGCUCUGGUCCGUGGAGUCCGCCGUGAUGUUCAGUACAUCAAUGAUGAGCUUACAAGCAUGCAGGCCUUCCUCCGUGACCUGAGCACUGCCCUGGAUGACCAUGACAACCGGAUGAAGGACUGGAUGAAGCAGAUCCGUGACAUGGGCUAUGACAUUGAAGAUUGCAUUGAUGACUUUGCCCACCGCAUCCCCCGUGAUCCCAGCAGUGAUGUUAAAUGCUUAUUCAUCAGAACAAGGUUCUAUGAACUCCGGAUGUGGUGGCCUCGUCGUGACAUUGCGUCCAAGAUUGCUGACCUCAAGGUGCGGGCACAACAGAUUGGUGAGCGGCGUAGAAGAUAUGGGGUGCACAACCCAAGGAACCGUAAGAAUGGCUCUGGAGUUAGCGCUGCAACAUACGAGGUUGCUGAGCAUCAGCUCACAGAGCGUCAGCUCAUUGGUACAAAGGAGCCCGUGGGGAUGACGGCUGACAUGAAGAAGCUUGAGGAUUGGUUAGCCAAAUCUGAUAAAAGUUGUUAUGAGGAGCGAGCUGUUCUGUCCAUAGUCGGAUUCGGCGGCGUGGGAAAGACCACUAUUGCAAUGGCUUUGUACCAAGAGGUCAGGGAUAAAUUUGAUUAUCGGGCAUCAGUCACCGUAUCUCAAAACUAUGAUGAAGAUGCAGUCCUCAUGAUGAUUCUAAAACAAGUCAAGCCAAAGGAGAGUGAUCACGAGAACCAACACAAGACUGGCAGCUCUGAUACAAAACAGAUUAAAUUUGGAAUUAGCCACGAUAAACUCGUGAAAGAACUACAAGAUCAUCUGGCUGAAAAAAGGUAUCUCCUCUUGAUUGAUGACAUAUGGUCUGCAAAAACAUGGGAGAGUAUCAGAAAGUGCUUGCCACAUGAUAAUAAAAAAGGCAGCAGAGUAAUAGUGACUACAAGAUUUCAAGCUGUUGGUGCCACAUGCUCCCAAGGAGAGAUUGAUUUUGUUCAUCCAGUCGAAUUUCUUAAUGAAGACGAGUCUAAAAGGUUAUUUAAGCGAAGUGUUUCUGAAUCCAAAAGCAUCAAAUAUAGCGAGAAAGAACUGGACCAAGUCACUGAGGAGAUAUGCAAGAUAUGCAGGGGUCUGCCUUUGGCCAUAGUUACCAUGGCUGGUCUUGUUGCCAGCAACCCGGACACACUCAGCAAAAAAUGGGAAGCAGUGUGCAAAUCAUUAUUUCCAGAGUCGGUGCCUUCUCUCACCUUGGAUGGUGUUACAAGGAUACUCGAGUACUGCUACAAUGAUUUGCCUGCAGAACUCAGGACCUGCUCGUUGUACCUGAGCAUAUUUCCUAAGGGUUCAAAAAUUAGUAGGAAGCGUUUGAUUCGGAGGUUGAUAGCCGAAGGUUUCGUUAGUGAGAAGCAUGGCUUGUCAGAUGAGGAAGUUGCAGAAACAUACUUCAAUCAGCUGAUAAAAAGGAAGAUAAUACGGCCGGUUGAACACAGCAGCAAUGGGAAGGUAAAAAGCUUUCAGGUUCAUGAUAUGGUUCUUGAAUAUAUUGUGUCCAAGUCAAGCGAAGAGAAUUUUAUUACUGUGGUUGGUGGCCACUGGCUGAUACCAAUGUCGACCAAUAAAGUCCGUCGACUCUCCGUGCAAAGCAGUGGUUCCGAACAUGGAAGUUCAACAAAACACAUGAACCUGUCACAAGUGCGAUCACUGACCAUGUUCCGGAGCCUGGACCAACUUCAUUUCCACUCUUUCAAUAAUGGGAUUUUACAAGUGCUGGAUCUUGAGGGUUGCAAGGGUUUGAAAGAGAAACAUCUGAAGGACAUGUGUAGAAUGCUUGUGCUGAAGUAUUUGAGCCUUCGGGGAACAGAUAUUUCCAAAAUACCCUCUAAGAUUGAGAAACUCGAGUACUUGGAAACUCUCGACCUAAGGGAGACUGAUGUCGGUGAGCUGCCAAAAUCUGCAGGGCAGCUCAAAAGAAUAAUCAACAUAUUUGGUGGGAAUAAAAACCCAAGAAGGGGGUUGAAGUUGCCUCAAGAGAUUAAUAAGGAGACAAUGAAAGCACUUCGUAUACUGUCGGGGAUCGAGAUUGAUGAGCAAUCAACAGGUGUAGAAGGCCUCCAUCAGUUGACAGGGCUGAGGAAGCUUGCCAUUUACAAGCUCAUAAUAUUGAAGGAUAGUAAAAUCUUCAAAGAAUUACGCUCUGCAAUCGAGUAUCUUGGCAGCUGUGGUCUGCAGACUCUGGCGCUCAACGAUGAAGGGUCUGAUUUUAUCAACUCACUGGACACCAUGUCCGCGCCUCCAAGAUACCUCAGCGCCCUUGAGCUCUCUGGCAACUUGGAUAGUCUUCCCAAAUGGAUUAGCAAACUAAGUAACCUCCACAAAUUGACCCUCUCUGUAACAGUUCUCCGAAUGGAUACUUUCGAGCUCCUCUGCGACCUGCCUUUGUUGUUUUCCCUCACCUUUUCGCUGAGUGCAGCGAAGCAGGAUGAGGCCAUAGAGGACAUACUUGAGAAGAACAAAUCGGAGUCCGGCGGGGAGAUCUUCGUUCCAAGUGCAGGAUUCAAGAGUCUAAAGCUGCUUCGCUUCUUCGCACCUCUAGUGCCAAAGCUGAGCUUCCCAGAAGAUGCAAUGCCAGCACUCGAGAGGAUUGAGAUGCGGUUUGAAGCCUUUGAGGGCCUUUUCGGCGUCGACACCCUGGAAAGCCUCCAGGAGGUGCACCUCAGAGUCAAUAGCGCAGCAGAUGAAAUAACCAACUUCAUAGUAGAAGAUUUGAAGGCCAUCAAGAAGCCGAAGAUAAUCGUGGAUCAUGUCAUCACCAGCUGA